UACGUAGGGGGCAAGCGUUGUCCGGAUUUAUUGGGCGUAAAGAGCGUGUAGGCGGUUUGGUAGGUCCGUUGUGAAAACUCGAGGCUCAACCUCGAGACGCCGAUGGAAACCAUCAGACUAGAGUCCGGAAGAGGAGAGUGGAAUUCCUGGUGUAGCGGUGAAAUGCGCAGAUAUCAGGAGGAACACCGGUGGCGAAGGCGGUCUGCUGGGCAGUGAGCUGACACUGAGGCGCGACAGCGUGGGGAGCAAACAGG
rnacentral:rRNA from 1 species